rnacentral:rRNA from 1 species
UGCCUCAGUAGCGGCGAGUGAAGCGGCAAAAGCUCAAAUUUGAAAUCUGGCGUCUUUGGCGUCCGAGUUGUAAUUUGAAGAAGGUAUCUUUGGGCCCGGCUCUUGUCUAUGUUCCUUGGAACAGGACGUCACAGAGGGUGAGAAUCCCGUGCGAUGAGAUGACCCGGGUCUGUGUAAAGUUCCUUCGACGAGUCGAGUUGUUUGGGAAUGCAGCUCUAAGUGGGUGGUAAAUUCCAUCUAAAGCUAAAUAUUGGCGAGAGACCGAUAGCGAACAAGUACAGUGAUGGAAAGAUGAAAAGAACUUUGAAAAGAGAGUGAAAAAGUACGUGAAAUUGUUGAAAGGGAAGGGCUUGAGAUCAGACUUGGUAUUUUGCAUGUUGCUCUCUCGGGGGCGGCCGCUGCGGUUUACCGGGCCAGCAUCGGUUUGGAGCGGCAGGAUAAUGGCGGAGGAAUGUGGCACGGCUUCUGCUGUGUGUUAUAGCCUCUGACGAUACUGCCAGCCUAGACCGAGGACUGCGGUUUUUUACCUAGGAUGUUGGCAUAAUGAUCUUAAGUCGCCCGUCUUGAAACACGGACCAAGGAGUCUAACGUCUAUGCGAGUGUUUGGGUGUAAAACCCGUACGCGUAAUGAAAGUGAACGAAGGUGGGGGCCCAUUAGGGUGCACCAUCGACCGAUCCUGAUGUGUUCGGAUGGAUUUGAGUAAGAGCAUAGCUGUUGGGACCCGAAAGAUGGUGAACUAUGCCUGAAUAGGGUGAAGCCAGAGGAAACUCUGGUGGAGGCUCGUAGCGGUUCUGACGUGCAAAUCGAU